rnacentral:rRNA from 1 species
UAGGGAAUAUUGGUCAAUGGGCGGGAGCCUGAACCAGCCAUGCCGCGCGCAGGAAGACUGCCCUAUGGGUUGUAAACUGCUUUUGUACGGGAACAAACCUAUCUACGAGUAGAUAGCUGAGUGUACCGUAAGAAUAAGGAUCGGCUAACUCCGUGCCAGCAGCCGCGGUAAUACGGAGGAUCCGAGCGUUAUCCGGAAUUAUUGGGUUUAAAGGGUGCGUAGGCGGCCUGAUAAGUCAGGGGUGAAAGACGGUGGCUCAACCAUCGCAGUGCCUUUGAUACUGUCGGGCUUGAAUGUAGUUGAGGUGGGCGGAAUGAGACAAGUAGCGGUGAAAUGCAUAGAUAUGUCUCAGAACACCAAUUGCGAAGGCAGCUCACUAAAUUAUGAUUGACGCUGAGGCACGAAAGCGUGGGGAUCAAACAGGAUUAGAUACC